ACGCGGAGGGCCAGCGGGAUACCCGCUGAGUUUAGGCAUAUCAAUAAGCGGCAGUGUGAAGAAACCUUACAAGGAUUCACUUAGUAACGCGAGCGAACCCGGGCGCGACCCAGCCCAGCUUGAGAAUCGGCGCCCGUCACGGGCGUCCUCGAGAUGUAGUCGUGAGGAAGGGGUCUCGAGCGAUGGACCGGCACCAGCAGCCGCCGUGGGAAGGGGCGCCGGAGGAGGGGUGGAGAGCCCCGUCGCGUUGCGGGAACCCGUAGCAGCCACGAGGCGGCUGCGGCCGAGGGUCGGGGCGGUUGUUUUGGGAAUUGCAGCCCCAUCGGCGGUAGAUUCCGUCCGGGAAGCAUGAAAUACGGCGAGGAGGGGGGGGCGUAUAGCAAAACAAGUACCGCGAGGGAAGGAGAUGGAGCAAAGGACUUGAAAAAAGAGCGAGGUCAAAGAGCUGUGAAAUUGUCGGGAGGGAAGCGGUAUGGGGCGGCGAUGCGCCCCGGUCGAUGUGGGGAACCGGCGACGGGUCCGACGAUCGACUCGGCGGUGUGACGAUGGGAUUGUGGGCGGCGCAAGCCGGCUGUAGUUAUCCCGUGAGACGUCGGUUCCGGCGAUCGUAGGUUGGCAGCGCGGCCUCACGGCGUGGCCUGCGGAUCUGCGCGGUCCUGAUCGGCGGGUCCAUUGCCGCGUGUGAAACAGCGAGAGGCUGAAUGUGUUGCGAGUCAACGGCAAGUAAACCGCGUAAGCGUAAGAAGCUGAGUGGGGAUCCGCCUUGAAGGGUUGCACCGCCGGACGGGACCCUUUGAUCAUUCUGAGGAAGGGUUCGAGUGAGAGCAGUUACCUGUCGGACCGGAAAGCAUGGGAAAACUAUGCAUUGAGCGGGGAAGCAGAGAAACUCUCGGUGGAGGCGCGAGAGCGAUACUGGCGUGGCAAUCGUUCGUUGGACUUGGGUAGUAGGGCGGAAAGACUAAUCGAACCGUCUAGUAGCUGGUUCCCCUCCGAAUUUCCUCAGGAUUGAGCUGAGGCCCACGUUGCGAGGUUCUAUCGGUAAAGCAAUGAUUAGGAGCAGUCGGGGGCGCAACGCCCUCGACCUAUCUCAACUUUAAGAUAGGUAGGGACGGCGGGGGGCUGUAUUCGUUGAGCGCGCGCCAGAGGAAUCGAGAGCUCUAAGUGAAUGUGUUGGUAAGCAAGAAAGCUGGGAUGGGGAGAAGACGGGGAGGAAGCGGGUUACGGUGCCCAAGCGCGCUAACCUAGAAGACCAACAGAAGGGGUGGUUGGUGCGAUUAAGACAGCAGGGUACGGUGGUGCAUGGAAGUCGAAGUCGCUAGAAGGAGUGUUAACAACUCACCUGCCGAGAUCAAACUAGCCCCGAAAUGGAUGGCGCUGAAGCGCGGCGGACUAUCCCGGCGUCGGCGCGAAUUCUAGCCCCGAUGAGUAGGAGGGCGCGGCGGUCGCUGCAAAAACCUGGGGCGAGUGCCCGGCGGAGCGGCCUGUCGGUGCAGAUCUUGGGUGCGUAGUCAGCAGAAUAUUCAAUGAGAAUUUUGAAGGCGAAGAGGGGAUAGGUUUUCAUGUGAACGCACUUGCCACGAUGGGUUAGUCGAUUCGCUAAGAGGACGGGGAAGCGCGUUGGCUGAUAGCGUGCUAAGCGCGAGCUUCGAGACAGGAAUGGUUAAAAUUCCUUGAACGGAACGUGGCGCUGACGGCAACGUGUAGGGAGUCCGGAGACGUCGGGCGGGCCUCGGGAAGAGUUAUCUUUUCUGUUUAACAGCCUGCCCACCCUGGAAACGCUCAAGCGGGGAGUAGGGGUUCAAGGCGGUGGGAAGGCGACCGCACGUCGGUGGUGUCGCGGUGGCGCCCGGCGGGCUUGAAAGAUCAGAGGACGCAGUGCUCCACGGCGCCUGUGCGUACUCAUGAGCGCAGGUAGGUCUCCAAGGGAACAGGCUCUGGUCGAUGGCAACAAUGUAGGCAGGAAGCGGCAAGAUGGGAUCCGUUACCCUCCGGAAAGGAUUUGGCUCUGAGGGCUGGCCGGGCGUUUCCGAGUCACGAACCGUCUCGCUGUCGGGACUGCUCGAGUGCUCCGCGGCGAGAGCGGUCGGCGUGCCGCCGGACGGACUGGACGACGCCUUCGCGUCUUCCCGGCGGGUGAACAGUGCGCUCAGAAAGUUACGACAGGAGAUUCGGACUGUUUAAUUAAAACAAAGCAUUGCGAUGUCCGCGCUGCGGAGCGUCAGCGCAAUGUUGAUUUGCUGGCCCGAGUGCUGGCUGAGAUGUCGAGAGUGAGAGGAAUUCAACCAAGCGCGGGGUGAAGGACGGCAGGGUAGACGGUGAGAGCUCUGUGAGGUAGGAAGAGUGCGUGCAUCGUGAAUAGGAGCUGGCGGGCGAAGAGUGGAUUAAGCGAGGGGAGGUGCCCAGUUGCGCCUGUCACGUGGAGCAGGCGAAAGCGACGAGGCGAGAGGGAGGCGCUGGCAGAUCGAGAAGAGAGAGAGCCUGGAGCUUGACCUUAGUCCGAUGUUGUGAAGAUGGACUUGGAGGAGGUAGGGAUAAGUGGAGGCGAAGAAGGGGAAAGUGAACAUAGCAGUGAGGUUUAACGUUAGUGGUGUAGUAUGCCGGAACGAAGGCGCUCUUGCCCCUCUGUGACCUCAGAGCUCGCCUCGGGCCGGGAGUCGCGAGAGGAGCGGGCGAGUGGGGAGUUUGGCCGUGGCGGCGACAUGGCGUGUAAAGAGAUAAGCGGAGGUGUUGCGGAGAGAUGAGGGCUCAACGAGACGCAGAAAUCUCGUGUGAAACAACAGGGUAAGAAGCUCGUUGAUUCUGACUUUCCAGCGAACUCGGCGAACCAGGUGAAAGCCGUGGCCUAAUCGGAUCUUGUUAGACCGUCGGGAAUUUGGAAGCUAGAGGUGUCAGAAAAGUUACCCAGAGGAUAAACUGGCUUGUGCGGAUUUAUGAAAGAUGAACAACUGUGAAAGCAUUUGCCAAGGAUGUUUUCAUUAAUCAAGAAUGAAAGUUGGGGGCUCGAAGACGAUUAGGUACCGUCCUAGUCUCAACCAUAAAUGAUGCCAACCAGGGAUCGGCGGAUGUUACUAAUAGGACUCCGUCGGCACCUUAUGAGAAAUCAAAGUCUUUGGGUUUCGAGGGGAGUAUGGUUGCAAGGCUGAAACUUAAAGGAAUUAAUGGAAGGGCACCACUAGGAGUGGAGCCUGUGGCUUAAUUUGACUUAACAUGGGGAAACUUACCAAGUCUAGACAUAGUAAGGAUUGACAAACUAAGUGCUCUUUCUUGAUUCUAUGGGUGGUAGUGCAUGGCCGUUCUUAGUUGGUUGAGUGAUUUGUCGGGUUAAUUUUGUUAACGAACUAGACCUUAUCUUGCUAACUAGCUAU
rnacentral:rRNA from 1 species